rnacentral:lncRNA from 1 species
GGAAAGAGGAGGCCUUUGAGAAGCAAGAAGAGGAGAAAGCCAGCCUAGUCCAUAAACAAAGAGAAGAGGCUAGAGGGCAGCUGGCUCAGCUACGAUGAUGAAGAUGACAUGGCCAGGGACUGCAGGGAACCGAGUGAUCCAGUCCUAAGGACGGAGAGCUCUCCUUCUCCUAAGUCCCAGGGACAGGCUUCUGCAUACUCUGUCAACUGAGGCACACAAGACACCCAUCGGUGACAGAUACACUCCCCUACAGAAGCUGUACUCUUUGGGGACACUCAGGCCCCCACUUUCUCCCGACUCCUACUCAUCAGGAUCCCUCUUUGCUCUGUAUCUUCUUGGGUUUCUAUUUAAAGGCAGAGAGGUCACUAAGUUCAAGCCCUAGCACUGGGAACGUCAGACAGACCUCCAAGGACGUUAGUGGGCCACGGGCACUUUUACCUCACUUUGGAAACAUUACAACAUUAGGGUGCCUUUGUGCCAAGACAGCGCCCACUGAGCCCAGCCUCUUACCUGAUGCCCAGCAGCUCUGUAAGGUUACAGUGCGUGGCUUUUUGUCUUUGUUCUUAUUCUAUAAUGAACUAAUAUACACACUUUAUAUUUAGCUUGGAGGGAAGUUCUUAAGAGCUCCUGUACUGGCUUGUGUGUCAACUUGACACAAGCUAGAGUCAGCAGAGAGAAAGGAGCCUCAGCUGAGGAAAUGCCUCCAUGAGAUCCAGCUGUAAGGCAUUGUCUCAAAUUAGUGAUCAAUAAGGGGAGGGCAGGUGGUGCCAUCCCUGGGCUGGUGGUCCUGGGUUCUAUAAGAAAGUAGCCUGAGCAAGUCAGUAGACCUCAGCCUUGCCAGGCCUCUGCAUCAGCUCCUGCCUCCAGGUGCCUGCCCUGCUUGUCCUGACUUCCUUUGGUGAUGAACAGCAACGUGGAAGCUG